GGCAGCGUACUGGGGCCAGGAAGGGACGGAACCAUGGGGCUGGGUUUACACCAGCUCUGCGAAGCCCCUCCGCUCUGCCCCCGCCUGCGAGGGGCUUUCUUGGCUAGGUCUGUUCCUGACAGAAGGGAUGCGUGUUGUCGGGGGUGGGGGGCUUGGCAUGUGUGUGUGUGUGUGAGAGAGAGAGUAUGUGUGUGUGUUUAAAAUACAGAAAAAAAGAAGCAUGGCUUUCCUCAGCUGCAGAGGCGGGCCGGGCUCUGUCCGUGCCAACUCCCUCAGAGCGGGCACCAUGGGGACACAGGAGGCACAGGAAGACUGCAGAGGUGAGGGAUGGGUAUGGAGAAAGAUGGACGCUUGCCAUCUCGAGUGCCGGCGGCUGCAUGAGGCCAAACCCCAUGAACAAAACCCACAGCAGAUCGCUGGCAGCCCAUGUUAGGAGGCAGAAGACAGUUGGCAGCGCUGCCGCAGAGGACGGCCUGGGAGCAGGUGGAUGUAGGCAAGGCCAGCAUGGAACAGGUGCCAGGACAUUCAGAGCAGGACCCCGGUCUCGACAGAGGACAGUUACCUAUGACAUAGACAGUCUGCAGUUUCUACAAUUGCUCUUUUGUUUUCUGACGUUUCUCAAACUUGCAUUGGGAGCAGAUGUAUACAUGUUAACAAAUAAAAUUUCCAGAAGAACCAGUCUCUGUCCACAAGGGGCCUUGGCAUCUGCUGGCCUGUCUGAGCUUGGCAUUCAGAAGACCGUCCCACUGGAGUGCCCCCAGUUGUGGCUUCUUCUCUAGCUACCUCUGGAGUCCGCACCUGCAGAAGCCCCACCCUUGCUUCGCCUCUCAACCCCGUUCAGGCAGCCCCAUCCUCCAUGGCUACAGCCCUGCUAUGGCCAGCCUUCCCAAGCUCCAGUCCUGCAGCCUGGAGGCUCAGGACGCCCCUGGGGCCACUGCUGCCAAGCACAGAGUUGAGAGCCAUGGGAUCCCCGGACACCAGCAUCUCUGCUCUAUGCACUCAGGGGCCCUGCAGCCAGCACCACCUUGGCUUACAGCCCCAACAGGACACGGGAACAUUGAAGGGGGAUGUCUAUCAGUUUCUUCCAAGGCCAAUCCAUGGCUCCCCUCUGCAAAGUCGCUGUGUGUGGAAUCCUUGGUCUCUGCUCAUAUGUCACUUGCUUGGACCGUGGGGACCACAAACAUGCCUGUGAGCUGGGUAGCUACAGGGCCACACAUGUGGCAAUCCUCAGCAGACACACGUGGAAGGCUAAGUUGUGGCCUUCGGCAGCCUGAGCCCUCUCACCUUGUGUGUGUGUGUGGGGGGAACUGGCUGCCUGCCCUGCACAGAGAAGGAUACAGACGCUGGGCUCAGACCCACCAUCCCUAGACUGGCGAUACCUUCCCUGGACUCAGUGGUGACAGUAUGCAUCCAAGGGCUGUCACAGAGGAAAAGGCAGAGGCUAGGCUUCCCAGCCCCAUUCCCACCUCUGGAAAGAGCGGGCGGCCCCAGCCCACCCCCUCCUCCGAUGUUUGCUGUUUUGUUGUUGUUGUUGUUAAUUCCUCACCAGGUGGAACCAGCACUGUGGGGCUUAAUUAAGCUCAGCCAGCUGUUGCUGAACACGGGGAUGCAGUGCGCGGUGGCGGCAGAGUCAGCCCGGAGCUGUGGAGCAGGGAGGGCUGGGGCCGCAGAAUCCCAGGCCAAGAUGGAGUGUGGCCUGAGUUCGGGGAGUAGAAAGCUGGGGCUGCCUGGUGGACUCUGUGGGAAGGUCCAAGGAUGUUCAGCUGCUGCUUUCCCUCUCCUCCCCUCCCCCAUGCACUGACCGAUCUCAGGUCCUGAGAACCGAGACCCACCCACCCUCACACAGGACGAAAGGAAACGUCAGAGAUGAGAGUCCAGGGAAGGUCUUCAGGACAUGCUGCUCAACACUAGGGCAGGAGUUCUGGAAUGAGCAUGAGAGAGAGAGAGAGGGGAGGGGGAUAGGUGUGGUGGAGGGAGGGAUAUAUGUGGUAUUGGGGGCUGUGUAGCAGAGUGUGCAUACAUGUGUGUUGGAGGGGAAAUGUGUAUGUGUAUGCAUGCAUGCAGUGGUAGAGAGCAUGUGAACACAAACACUGGGAUGUGUGUACGGGGUGGGUCAGGGUGAGUGUACAGAGGUUCUCUGUUCUCACUGGUGGUGGUCAGACGGGCUCUGUUUUCCCUCUGGUGUUUCACGGAACUUUACUCACCAUUUCCAUGAGACAUUAAUAGCUAUUUCAACAAACUGUUUAGUUGGGAGUGCAAAGCUCUGGGCCAAACAAAGAGGAGCUGCUAUGGUGCUGCAGUCCUUCUCUGCCCCUUGCAGCCCAUCCUUGCAAGGGACAGGGCACCCCAGGAACCUUUUCUCUGCGGUGUCAGUAAGUUGAACACACGAUAGCAAAUGUCUGGUUCCGGGAGUCAGGUGUAGAAAGUGGAGGGAGCUGGGAACUAAAAUGAGGGUCCAUUCCUUUAUCUCUGGAGCAAGAAAAGAAAUGGACCACGCCCAUCCCUCAGACUCUGACUCCCUCCUAUCAAAAUGUCAGCCACCCCAGAGAGAAAAAGAAUCUCUAGACAGAACAGAAGACAUCCCAGUGACCAGCAAAGCUAGCCAGCCUUGGGUGGGCCACUGCCACACAUCUGUCUGUUCACAUAACAGUGACAACCACAACAAAACCACGUAGCCAGGACCAGUGAGGAUUAAGAGUGACAGGCACACUUGCUCACAGGCCACAGGCUCUGUCCCUCCAUUCUAGGGAGCUGUUAGCUAGAGGAGUAACAGCGGCCCAUGACUCCUCACUCCGCCUGUCAUUCCUGUAGACAAGGACCUCUAUGAAAGCAUGGGGUGAAGUGAGUUCACUUCUGUGGCUGGGUAGGAAGGAGAACACAAUAUCAUUCUGGGGGUAUACUCCAGUUUCAUAAGUCCGUCAACAAAACUGCACCCUCUGGGGACAGGCAGGCAGCAUUGCCCUGAGGAAUGAGAGACCGGAAGGAGGAAGGAAGGCUUCAGAUCCUGUGUGUUUGGACGUAUGAAACUCCAUGCAGUGUCUCCGGAGAGCCUAGGCAUGUGCCAGGGGCAUGGUUGGCUAGCAUUUUCCCAGGGUUGUGUACAGCAGUCACCUGACCCCACCUUUGCUCAUUGUGGUUUUUUAUGACUGUCACUACCCGGUGCCUAAGGUCUUGUUUGGGAUCAGAUGAAGAGCAGGUGUCUCCAGAGCCCACACAGAUGUCUUUGUUAUAGCUAAGAUCAGGAGUCGCCCUGGGUUCCCAGCCCCAUCUGAAGACCAUCUGAACCCACUGUUCGCCAGCUGCCUGUGGGGAAGAGACUGAGGGCAGGUGAGGAACCAGCCCCUCUGUCUUCCUGGCUCUCACAGCUUGGCUUCACCUACUCUGGGCCUCACCUGAAACUACACUUGAGCAGGUGGCUCAGGCCCUGCCCACUAAUGUUGCUUGUCCCUCACCCCAUAUUACUUGUCCACGACCUCAUUCCCAGUUGAUGUACAAGCUCCUUAGGUGACUGACACACACCUCACCCAAUGAGCUAGUAGGUCUGUUUUGACUCCUGCUAAGGAAGUGUACCUGAGACUGGAGUAGUUUAGGGAUGUGCUGCAUGAAGUCGGGGACCCUUGGCUCCCUCGAUUGGUCUGUGGGUGGACUGUUCUGACCUUGGGAACUUCGUUCUGGCCAGAUGGGUAGCAGGGGGGCUCUCCAGAUGCUUUCCAUAUUUGCUCUUCUUUGUGUCUUGGGACUUUUUUCAAUGGGUCUGUACUGCUGGGAUUGAAUCCAGGAUCUUGUGCACACUAGACAAGCAUCCAGCACUGAGCCGUGGUCCAGCCCUUUCAGAUUUGCUCUUGUUGAGCUCCUCUCCUUUAGGAAGAUGCCCAGAUUGUGGUAAUUUUUGCAGGGUGGCCCUCUGAGGAAUAACACCUUUGGUGAGGUCAGAGUGCAGAAAGCUACCAUUCUGCCAAAAUGCUGUGACAUAGUCGCUAGGAGUUUUGACACAAAGUUGACACUGGCUGAGAAAGAGGAGCCAGGAGACCAGGCUGUCUGAGGUGAACCCAGCCCCCAUCUACUAGCCACAAAGGUGGGACCUUAGAUUCCCCUGCUCCUGCCCAGCACCCAUGGGGCUGAAGUUCACUUAAAGUUGCAGGCCAGGAGCUCCCAGGCAAGCCUCAUGAUAGUGUGUAUGCAUCUGAGAAAUUCUCAUUUGGGGAGAGCAGACUGGGGAUCCCCUGGUGGGCAGGAAAGGGCAGCCAGAGGCCCUUGCGAGUGGGUCCCAGAAGUGUACAGCCACAGUGCUGGCCCUGCCUAAGCUCCAGGAAGGGUCUUCCACUCAGAAAUAGUCAACGACUAUGCAAAAAUCUCCACCAUAAGUUAUUUAUAAUUUGAUUUAACUAUUUUCUAUUUCACUCUAUUUCCAAAGCUCUCCCUUUGGGUUUCUUGAUCUGGGUCUCCUCUCCUUUUGGGGAAGAAGCCCUGGCCACAGUGGCCACCAGCUGGAUCUGUCAAAGUCUGUGGUGACACCAGAAUCCCCAGGAGCCCUCCAAGGUAGUGGGAUACAGCAUCCGGGGGAGCUGGGAGCCUGGGGAUGCUCCACUAGCCCAGUCACACCUGUACCACUCAUUCAUCCCCCACCCUUGUUCCAACCCAGGCCUACUCACCCCCAACAACAUCUGACCAUAUCACUCUUCCAAGAGGUCACCCAGAUCCCCACCUCCUCCUGGCCCUGGUUCUGACUCAAGAGGAGCUGAUUCCUGACAAAAGGAGCUAGGGGUGGCUUUGCCCACUACCUACUCAGCUGGCCUGGGCUACAUUCCAUGGGUUUCAGGGUCAGGCCACAUGGGAAAGUCCUGUGGAGCUGGAGGGAAGUGGUCUUCUACAGUUCCUGCCUGCUGUGCUAUUAUUAUACCUUUGUGCCUUUUUGGCUUCUCAGAGUCAGGUUACCACCCUCAUGAGGUCACAGGCACCUCAUGAGGUACCUUUCAUCUGUGCUUUGGGGGCAGCCCUCAAUUCAUAGAUGCCUCUCUCAUGCACUUGGAAGCAUCUCCAGCAUGGACCACCAGAGCAGGACCUGGGUACACAAGACCAAGUGUGAGCAGUGCCUGUCACAAGUCCAUGAGCAGUGUCACAGUUUAGAUGUGACAUUUCCUCCAGAAGACUGCUCUUGUGGUAGGCUUACAUUCUUCUAAUCCGGCAGCAUUCAGAGCUGGAGCCUCUGGGAGGUGACAGGAUCACCAAGACUGAUGAUAUUAGCAGGAAACAGUGGGAGGUAGGAGAGAGGAUCUGGAUGGAGGAGAUAGGGAACCGGAGGCACGGCUUUGGAAGAGAUAGCUUUUCCUCCGAGGCUUCCCUGCUGUCUGUCUCCUACUGCCUCUUGUAUGUCACAAAGUGAGCAGCUUUGCUCUGCCACAUGGUCCUGCCAGGGUACUCUGCCUCCCCUCAGGCCCACAGGACUACAGCUGGCUGAUCACGGACUGGAGCCUCCGAAACCAGGAGCACAUUCAUUUACUGUGCGUGUAUGUACCCAUGCAUGCCCCAGCACGAAUGUGGAGGUCAAAGAACAACUUUCGGAAGUCAUUUUUCUCCCUUCUGCCCUGUAGGUCCUGGGGACUGAACUCAAGUCACUAGACUUGGCAGCAAGUGCCUUUAACUGCUGAGCCAUCCGCCCCCAAGUAAUUCUUUUAAAAUAGCUUUUCUCAGGUAUUGUCCUAGUGAAGAAAAGCUGACUAAAUAAACAAUACACAUAUCCAUAUUCAUUUGUAUAUUAAUAUGUCCCCAAUAAUAUAAAUAUAAAUUGAAUUUUCUCAAUUAUAUAAGUUGAUGCAUCCUAGUUAUAUACUCAUAUAUCCCAAUCUCUCUCUCUCUCUCUCUCUCUCUCUCUCUCUCUCUCCCUCCAUAUAUGUGUAUAUAUCACCAGGUAUAUCCUCAGAUAGCCCAAUUGUAUAUGCCCAUUCAUCCCCAAUCAUGUACCACAUACCCCAUGCAUUUAAAUGUGGUUCCACUUCUCUGAGUUUUAAUGGAUAUUCAUGCCAAUCUCCCCAGCAGUGACCUAAAAGGAGUCCUGGGAAACAGAUAGUGGAAAUAAUCAAAGGAAAAGUACACUCCCUAGAAACAUGACUGUCAGGAAAUGAUGUCAAAACAAAAGUCCCCCUCCCUCUUCCUCCUUCCUUGUUUUUUCCUUCCCCUGUGUCUCUCCCUGUCUCCCUCCCUCUCUGGGCCCUCUCUGGUGACUCCCAUUCCCCUCCUACAUACCCAGGCCUCAGAUCUUCCAUGGGUUGUCAUGGUGACAACUGCAGGGUGGAUGCCAUGCUUCCCAGGCAAUGAAAGGUCAGUGUCAUGGGUAGAACAGCAGCCUCAGGCCCCACCUCAGACUUCUUACAACUAUAUAGAGCCCGUGACACACCUUCCAGGACCCCUUGACAUUUCCAUUUAUCCCAGGCAUGGAUAAACCUGGGAUAUCAGGUUUUAUCCCUGUGUCUAGAAACAGAGUCUAGACACUCCUCUAUGUCCACUGCGUAUGUUGUUCCUUUCAAUUCCCUGGUGGCCGGCAGGUCCCACAGCCAUAAGGCACAGCGAGAACGCCAACCUGGCGACCAAACCCCCAUUUGCUAUGUCUUAUUUGCAAAGCUGAGGUGCUGGGGCUGGCGGCCAGCUCUGGAGGCCACUGUGCUCAUCAGCCUGUUUGCUGAACCCCGAGGUCAUCUGUCAUGGGAACCAUACUCUUUGAGAACUGUCCAUCCUCCAGAGGCAGCAGUCCAGCCAGGGCACAGUCUCUGGCUUAGUUUUUUUUUUUCAGAGCUGAGGACCGAACCCAGGGCCUUGCGCUUGCUAGGCAAGUGCUCUACCACUGAGCUAAAUCCCCAACCCUUUCUGGCUUAGUUUUGUUUCUUGUUGCCGUGCUAAAAUAUACUAUUAAAAGCCAUUUAGGGAAGAAAGGGUUUAUUUUAGUUCAUUAUUCCUGGCUAUAGUCCGUCAAAGCAGGGGAGACACAGAGGCAGGCACUUGGUAGAACUGUCACGUUACCCUUGCAGUCAAGAGCCGAGAGCAAUGGAUUAACGGAUGUGUGCUAGCGCUCAGCUUGCUUUCCACAUGCCCUGGAAUAGUUCACCCACAAUGGGCAGAUCUUCCCAUCUCAAUUAAUGUAAUCAAAGUAAUCCCCCACAGGCCUAAUGUUGACAGUCCCUCACUGAGACUCUUUUCCCAGGUGAUUGCAGAUUUUGCCAAGUUGACAGUUAAAACUGACCCUCACAACAUCAGAGACUUUGAUGUGGACACGUGGGCAGGUCACGGAGCCUCUGACAUCUCCAUAACCCACUCUGGAGAGAGACCCUCCUGUUUGCAUUCCCAACCAUCUGUCAAUUAUUCUAAUGAAUGACAGCAUGGCUAGUAUUUACCUGAGCCUUCUGGCCCUUUUUCUGGCAUUUGGUCAUCAAGGAGCCAGUCCUAAAAUAGACUCAUCCUGGGGGAGAUAGGUGGUAGACUGGGAGCGGCGAGGGGCGGGGCAGCCACUAGAAUGUGGCUGCAUUCAAGGGCAGGAUGGGAUCCUUUCAAAAACUGGGAGGAUCCUGUCAGUCAAAGCCACACCUGAAAGAUGAGGACCUCAAAGAUGUUCCUGCCCCUUAUUCAUAAGCCAUCUCUCACUGUACUCAGGACAUUUUCCUGAGGUGCAGAAAGGCCUGACCCUGUGUGCUGUUUGCUCUCUGGGAUUAAGAGGCAGCAAGGAUAGCAAAAUGUGGAGCAGAGGACAGAGCGAUGCUGCGGCCCAUUUGCACCCCCAGUGUCCUUGUUGGGAGUUUCUGUGUCAAGCUCAAAGUGACAAGACAGGCUCAGUGGGGUGGGGGGGGACACACAUGUCUGGAGCCAUUCGAGCAGGGAGGGUAGAGCCAGCGUGUGACCCAACUUUAUCCCAAGGUCCAACUAAGUUCAAAGUAGCCCUCUGUGCCUCAGUUUCCCCAGCUAUGGUAGGGUUGUGGGAAGCAGGCAUGCAUCUGUGCUCAGUGAGUUCACACAUGCUGUAUAGACUGAUGAAGUUUGAGACUCCUCUCCCGCGCCACUUCUUACAGCCUUUUGUGACUGUGGUGGUUUGAAAGAAAAUGACCCCCAAAGGGAGUGACUCUAUUAGGAGGUGUGGCCUUGUUGGAGUAGGUGUGGCUUUAUUAAAGGAAGUGUGUCACUGUGGAGGUGGGCUUUGAGAUCUCAUAUAUGCUCAAGCCACGCCCAGUGAGACAGACCACUUCCUGUUGCCUGAUGGUCAAGACCUUGAACUCUCAGCUACCUCUCCAGCACCGUGUCUGCCUGCACGAUGCCAUGUCCUGUCAUGAUGAUAAUGGACUGAACCUCUGAAACUGUAAGCCACUACAAUUAAACGUUUUCCUUUGUAAGA